GUAGGUAAUUAGGGGAAUCCACAUAAAAUGGGGAAGGUUUCAUUCACGCUGAUCUCGUCUGAGUUUUUGCUAUGUGUUUAUGUCACGAUUGGUAUGUCGUGAGGCGGGUCCAAUAGCGUCACAUGGGAAACGCUCUUCGUAAUUGUGAGCUUCGAACGAGGCAACAGCCAAACGUGAAGAAAGGCUGAACCACUAGGUGAAGCAGCGCCUCUGACAGAGCGACGCUUCUUGUGUGUGCUGUUGGAUUGCCAGUCGCCCGUCUCGGUCGCUAACGAAUCAAGACGACGUUGAUCGAGAAGUUGGAGGUGGAGGAUGUGAACGGUUUGAUGGAAAAUAAAAAAAAACAAGAAGCGAAUGCGCUUUGCAGUCCGUCGUGAUGGUAAAAGUCACCAGAACUGACAUCAUCCAAAAAUCAUGUGAUCCUCGUUAUCUUCGUCAGCAUUUGUGUUUACACACCUCCACGUAAAAUGAAGAAGAAAAGGAAGAACGCGUUCUAUUGUGUCUGCGUCGAUGUACAGUAAAACGUUUUUCGUAUAUUUUUUGCUGUACACGGUAAACCUGUUCUCAUUUUCGUGUUGCCUGAUGGUCAAAUAAGGAAAAACCUUCGCGAUACAGUGAAUAGAUGUUUUGCUUGACUGUAACAGGAUGAACCGUACAUGCAU
rnacentral:lncRNA from 1 species